rnacentral:tRNA from 1 species
AGUGUCGUGCCAGAUAAAAUGGGUUGCUUUGAUGUGGCAAAAUAUAGGUGCAUUCCUCGACAUUU